rnacentral:rRNA from 1 species
UACGUAGGGUGCAAGCGUUGUCCGGAAUUAUUGGGCGUAAAGAGCUUGUAGGCGGUUUGUCGCGUCUGCUGUGAAAUUUCGGGGCUCAACCCCGAACUUGCAGUGGGUACGGGCAGACUAGAGUGUGGUAGGGGAGACUGGAAUUCCUGGUGUAGCGGUGAAAUGCGCAGAUAUCAGGAGGAACACCGAUGGCGAAGGCAGGUCUCUGGGACGGUACUGACGCUGAGACGCGAAAGCGUGGGGAGCGAAAAGG